CUCCACGAAGUUGGAUUCGCUAGUAAUCGCGCAUCAGCCAUGGCGCGGUGAAUACGUUCCCGGGCCUUGUACACACCGCCCGUCAAGCCAUGGGAGCCGGGGGCGCCUGAAGUCCGGGACCGCGAGGACCGGCCUAGGGCGAAACUGGUAACUGGGGCUAAGUCGUAACAAGGUAAC
rnacentral:rRNA from 1 species